AAAAUGCCCAGGCUGAGGUUUCCGUGUCCAACUUUGACUGUCCGUCUUAUAUGAAAUUUUUUUAUAAUUCGUAUUUUCAUUGUUGUUAUAUGAUAAAACAUGAUUAAUAUUUUAUGUGUGACUUAUCUUUUUAAUUUUUUUCAUAAUUUUUUAAAUAAGACGGACGGUCAAACGUUGGACACGGAAACCAGGGUUUGUCUUUUU
rfam:Oryza sativa Japonica Group DNA, chromosome 1, cultivar: Nipponbare, complete sequence.